ACAACACCUAAAACACACACUACACACGCCAUUUUCCAUUUAAGCUUGGACGGAGCUUUUGACCUCCGAUUUGAGCACCGAGACGAGCGCCGAUCAUCUUUUCGAUCACGUAUCUAAGUAGGUUGAGCUGAUGUGAUGAUGGUGCUGCAAUGAGCGGAGUCUCCAGGGUUGUUAAUAAAUAGUUAACCUGUCUAGAAUAUGUCUUCAUACAUAUGUCUAGCUACUUUCCGCUGCAAGAUGUUGUUGAUGUUAUAGUAUGUUAUGUCAUACUUUGUGUCUUAAGAGAAUGGUUGCAUAUGAUGUAUAACUUGAUUAAUGAUAUUAAUUAACUUUUAUGCAGUCUUUCAUAGACUGUUUUCAAUUGAGUAUUAAUGAAUAAAAAUGACGAGUUU